UUUUGUUUUUGUUUGUUUUUGUUUUUUUUGCCAAUUAGCCAAAAAGUAAACCCUGAAAUAAUGUCAUCCCUUGUUUGAAACCCCAUUGAGCCUAUUCUCCCUUUUUGUUUAAAACUCAUUAUAAAACGAGAAAUGAAAAACAAUGUUAUCACCCUAUUCAAAGGGUUGAAAGAGUCUUGUUUGGAGUUAUGUGAGGUUGAAUAAUUAUGUUUGUAAUAUUUCAGAAGUUGGCAGAAAAAGAAAAAAAAUAGAAAAAGAGAAUAGAAAAAAAAAAGGAAUGAAAAAAUAGAAGGAUAAGAGGAAGAAAAAAAUAGAAGGCUAAGAGGAAGAAAAAAAAGGAAUUAUGUUUGUAAUAUUUCAAUACAUGUCAAUACAUAUUCCUUAAAAAAUGAAUAAAAAGAGGAAGGAGAAGAG
rnacentral:lncRNA from 1 species